UUAAAAGGCCCGGUCUUUUCACCUAAUAUGCUCUUAUCUGGCAGUUAGCUAUCUGGAGGAUAAAUAUUUAUUCGCCAGAUAAAAUGUACCCGUCUUUUCACGUCAAUUUAUGUUCCAGUUAGUUAUCCGGUAGAUAAGCUUAAAAGUAAGUUUGGAUUCCGAACACACCUGACUUUUAUGUUUAUUUUUAUAAUUUCAGCUUUAACUUAACCUAACAUAAUUAGAUUCGAAGUAUUUCAAAGAUGAUUUUAUCGAUUUUAUUUCCAUUUUGGAAGAAGGAAUGAAGGAAAUAAGGAAAACAUUGAUUAUGCUGAAAUAGUUUACUGGAGAGCUUGAACAAGAGGUAAAUCCAUUUUAAAUUAGAGGAAAACUGUUGAUUUGUAUGUAAAAUAGAAGACAAAGACAAGUUUAAAUAAAGACAAGCUAGCUAAUGAAACAGAUGCAGUGGUAAUUUUGUUUACAUAAUUAUAUAUGUACAUAUUAUAUGAUUAUUAAUAUUAGGUUUGUUCUAGCAAACAGUCAAACUAGUCAGAAACCGUCAGCAAUUAGUUGCUCAGUGAGACAACAUAAUACAGUCACCAGUGCUAUCCCCUAUCUACUCGCGCUGGUCGACUAUUCGCUGAUGGUUUCAAACCGUUUGAAACUGAUGCUAGAACAAACCUAAUUACUGUUCAAUGAUGUAAAAAUUUGUUAAUGUGGGGAAAACUUUUAUUUAAAUUCAAUACUAUAUUUCUGUAAAUAUCAUGCAAUAUGGCAAAACUUGAUGUUACGUCUGAUUUUAGCCAUAAUGAGAUUAUUUGCUUGAUAUGCUAUUUAGUAACAUUUCUUCAAGUUGGUAUAGUUUGGUAUGUGUAUGAUGAAGGUAAAACCCCCUUUGUCCCACAUGUCCCCUUUUAACUUACAGUAGAACCCUAAUUAUCCGUGCUAUGAUUUUCUAUUACUCAAGUUGCAUUUUUGAGGUUUUAUCAACAUAGCGUCAUUGUAAAUCACUUAACGGAAACUCUAUAUGACGAAAGAGAGACUCAUAAUGAAAGAUUUAUUUUUUCUGUUAUCUUUUUAUGGUAGGUACAUAAUAUUAUAAUAUGUAUGUGUAUACGUACUUAUUAUACAUAAGAAAUACAUGUUCGGAUUAUCAGUGCCACCUUCGGUCCCGAGGAGCACGGAUAAUCUGGAUUCUACUGUAUUAGGUAGGCCAGAACUUGAUAUAUUACUUGAUUUCUUAUGUUGAUUACUUUUCGUUUUUGGGUUGACAAAACAUGAUUUAAACUUUCAAAAUGCCCUCCUGAAAAAUUAGGCUAGAUGGACAUAUCAAUCAUUGUCAAAACGCUACAGAUUCAUAAUCCAUCCAACUGGUAUAUUGAAUAGUAAACUAGGGAUAAACCAACUAUGUAUAUCAAAACACAAUAUUUUAAAGAUUGGAUAAUUUACAUGAUAUGACAAACACCUAGAAGAUGGAAUCCUGUGUUCUCAAAGAAAAAGCUAGCUCCAGAAAUAAGCUACCAAUAAUAAACUAGAGAAUGUAUUACAAGAAAGAACAACGCUAAUACCCAACAUAGCUCAAUUGCUUCAGAUAGAAAAAGAGGAGGAAAGGGUAGAACACAAGCGUGCCAGAGAAAAUUAAAGGGCAGAAGAGACACAAAAAUUCAUUGAUUUAUUAAAUUUAAUAAUUAAAUUAUACAAAGGACAAUUAAAUAAAGAAUAAAAAAUUA